CAUGCACCAGUGGGGUCCUUUGGCCUGGCCUGCACCCUCUUGUAAUCUGGGAACCCUCAGAGGAUGUCAGUUUCAGCCUUGAUCCUGCAGGCCAGGCCGAGGGACCCCACUGGUGCACG
rnacentral:pre_miRNA from 1 species